GCCAGGCAUGGUGGCUCAUGCCUGUAAUCCCAGCACUUUGGGAGGCUGAGGUGGGUGGAUCACCUGAGGUCAGGAGUUUGAGACCAGCCUGGCCAACAUGGUGAAACCCCAUCUCUA
rnacentral:SRP_RNA from 1 species